CCAUUUCAAAUUGAAUGAAACCUCUGGCAUUCUUCCUGAUGCCUCGAGCUCUGAGGUAUGACCAUGUUUCCUGAUGCCUGGAGCUCUGAGCUAUGACCAUGUUUCCUGAUGCCUGGAGCUCUGAGCUAUGACCAUGUUUCCUGAUGCCUGGAGCUCUGAGGUAUGACAAGGUUUCCUGAUGCUGGAGCUCUGAGGUAUGACCAUGUUCCCUGAUGCCUGGAGCUCUGAGGUAUGACCAUGUUCCCUGAUGCCUGGAGCUCUGAGCGAUGACAAGGUUUCCAGAUGCUGGAGCUCUGAGCUAUGACCAUGUUUCCUGAUGCCUGGAGCUCUGAGGUAUGACCAUGUUUCCUGAUGCCUGGAGCUCUGAGGUAUGACCAUGUUCCCUGAUGCCUGGAGCUCUGAGGUAUGACAAGGUUCCCUGAUGCUGGAGCUCUGAGGUAUGACCAUGUUUCCUGAUGCCUGGAGCUGUGAGGUAUGACAAGGUUGCCUGAUGCCUGGAGCUCUGAGGUAUGACCAUGUUUCCUGAUGCCUGGAGCUCUGAGGUAUGACCAUGUUUCCUGAUGCCUGGAGCUCUGAGGUAUGACCAUGUUUCUUGAUGCCUGGAGUUCUGAGCUAUGACCAUGUUUCCUGAUGCCUGGAGCUCUGAGGUAUGACCAUGAUUCUUGAUGCCUGGAGCUCUGAGGUAAGACCAUGAUUCUUGAUGCCUGGAGCUCUGAGCUAUGACCAUGUUUCCUGAUGCCUGGAGCUGUGAGGUAUGACAAGGUUUCCAGAUGCUGGAGCUCUGAGGUAUGACCAUGUUUCCUGAUGCCUUGAGCUCUGAGGUAUGACCAUGUUCCCUGAUGCCUGGAGCUCUGAGGUAUGACCAUGUUUCCUGAUGCCUGGAGCUCUGAGGUAUGACCAUGUUUCCUGAUGCCUGGAGCUCUGAGGUAUGACCAUGUUUCUUGAUGCCUGGAGCUCUGAGCUAUGACCAUGUUUCCUGAUGCCUGGAGCUCUGAGGUAUGACCAUGUUCCCUGAUGCCUGGAGCUCUGAGCUAUGACAAGGUUUCCAGAUGCUGGAGCUCUGAGCUAUGACCAUGUUUCCUGAUGCCUGGAGCUCUGAGGUAUGACAAGGUUGCCUGAUGCCUGGGGCUCUGAGGUAUGACCAUGUUCCCUGAUGCCUGGAGCUCUGAGGUAUGACCAUGUUCCCUGAUGCUGGAGCUCUGAGGUAUGACCAUGUUUCCUGAUGCCUGGAGCUCUGAGGUAUGACCAUGUUUCCUGAUGCUGGAGCUCUGAGGUAUGACCAUGUUCCCUGAUGCUGGAGCUCUGAGGUAUGACCAUGUUUCCUGAUGCCUGGAGCUCUGAGGUAUGACCAUGUUUCCUGAUGCUGGAGCUCUGAGGUAUGAGCAUGUUCCCUUAUGCCUGGAGCUCUGAGGUAUGACCAUGUUUCCAGAUGCUGGAGCUCUGAGGUAUGACCAUGUUUCCUGAUGCUGGAGCUCUGAGGUAUGGCCAUGUUUCCUGAUGCCUGGAGCUCUGAGGUAUGACCAUGUUUCCUGAUGCUGGAGCUCUGAGGUAUGACCAUGUUUCCUGAUACCAGGUACUUUGAGGUAUGACAAGGUUUCUUGAUGCCUGGAGUUCUGAGGUAUGAUAAGGUUUCCUGAUGCUGGAGCUUUGAGGUAUGACAAGGUUUCCUGAUGCCUGGAGCUCUGAGCUAUGACCAUGUUUCCUGAUGCCUGGAGCUCUGACGUAUGACAAGGUUUCCUGAUGCUGGAGCUCUCAGGUAUGACUAUAUUUCUAUUCCAACAUCUGCUGUCCCAGGAAGUGUAGGUGAUGACACAACAUAAAGUCCAAAAUAAGAGUAGGUUGUGAGAAACAUUUGUGUUUCAAAUACUGCGCAUGGGUCUCAAGAGGGAGAAGGAAGGCGGGCCUCUUUGCAGAGAUCUUCGUGAACAUCGUUUAUUGUAAAUUUAUGCCUCACCCUGAGGGCAGUGAAAGGCAUCAGGCGGGUUCAGCAGCGCAAAGUAGAAGUGCCCUGGGCACUUCAUCCGAAAGGGAUUUACACUGUGAGUUACAUGGGUACAACAUCAUCAGAAAGGGGCGGAAGCAAGAAGCUGCCGGAACUGUCGCCUCCGGGAGAACCUUUGAGGGGAGUCAGGGAUCCGAAAGCCGACGGGUCUCAGCAGCUCCCUCAGAGCCACAUCCCUUGUCCUAGAUGGGCACUGGCAAAAACAAGUCUCCUUCCGUGCCUCGUGCCCCCCAGGCAGCUGUGCUGAAGACAAUCCCCUCCCCACUGAGUUGACCAGGAGAAGGAUGUCUUGCGUUAACUUCCACCUUCAGGCAUCUUGGGAGCACAUCUAAUUGGAGAAACCCAAAUAAUAUCCAGAAUGCAAUUGUAGGAGAGCCUGGAAAGGAGCUUUCUUAACUUCUGAGGGAGGUGCAGAAAGGCACGCUAGAAGGAGCUGGAAAUGGAUGUUGAGUACCAACCCAUCCUAGCAACACACCGGUGCGAGGCAGGCCUGGGCUUGGAAGCUAAAGAACCAAAUGUGACAGUGGACUCUGCCCUCGUUAGUAGCUGCAUGACUGCAGUAAAGCUCUUGGUUCCCUCACGUGUAAAACAAGGAGGGUGGACCACAGCCUUUCUAGAGACCUUGUCAGUUCUUGAAACAAAAAACAACUUCUGUAAAAAGCAUGAAGAGAGACCAUCUCCUGGUACCAUCCUCCUGCCCCUUGCCUCCCAGAUGUAGCAUCCUUUGGUCUUGGUGGUCAUCAUCCUUUCUCAGAAGCUUAUAGUGGCAGCUGGAUCUCAACUGUGCCCUCACCCCACCGCACCUUGGAGAGUUAGAAUACAUCACAAUUGGCUGCAGUUACAAGUAGGAAGAGGGCAGGAAAACACGUGGGCAGAGCUGAAGUUCUCUGAUCCCACAUCUGAAUUUCCAAAAGAAUCCCUAGACAGUCUCUGCUGUUGGCCAAUAUUCCCGGAGCCGCUCUGUGAACAUAACUGAGCGGGACACCCCGGCCCAUGGCUGCGGGCGCGGCACUGGGCUUGUAUGCAGCCUGAGGAAAUCCUGCUCCUUAAGAAAUUCUCAGAGCAGCGCUUCUCAGACUUCAGUGUGCACACGGAUGCCGGGGACCUGGUUAAAAUGCAGAUACUGCGUCCGCGGGGCUGGGGUGGGAUCUGAGAUGCCGCGUGUCUGACCAGCUCAGGGCUGCUGCCACUGCUCUGUGGACCACCCUUUGAGUAGCAAGGUUUAGAUCUCCAUGUGCCCCACUCCCACCCCAGCCUCCCCGCAAGGAGACAAUUAAAUGCAAAUGUCUGCAGUAGAAUGCCAUGAACUGAAGAUUCCGACCCUGAAGAUAAAGGGUUGAGGGAUUUGGGUUUUUUCCCCCAGUAAAUAUUAAGUGACAAGCUUUACAUAAGCACUCAGAGGCACAUAUUCCUAGGGGUCUGGUUUGUGGGGUUUUGUCCCUCCUGUACCAUCUCUCUUUCCUUGUUGACUCUUUCCUCUGGGUUUGGGGCUCAGUUUCCUCAUCUAUAAAUUGGGGUAGAAAUAUCUACCUAGAGCACUAGUUAGAGGGAUAAGUGAGAUAGUGCAUGCCAAGAGCACUUGGUUUAUUACUAGAUGCUUUGAACUGUUGUCUCUGCCCCCUAAUUAUCGCCGUCAUCGCUCAGUCCUGCGUCACCUCGGCCCUUCGUCAGGUGGAGAGAAAGAUGUCACUCACCGUUGCUUCCCUUGUUUCCAAAGCAGGAAAACCUGCCGCUGCCUCCUGAGGGAUCGGGGACAGCAGACGGGGUGAGACAGAGAGGGUUAAAGCUUGCCAAGUUUUAUACUAAAGUGGUACCCUGCAAUGUAUAGAACUGCGUGGCAUAGUAAGCUAUGGUAACAAGCACAGAGAAAAACGUAAGUGACAAAAUAGAAGAAAUUGAGCAAAUAUUUAAAAUGGUAGACACUAAUUAAGAAGGAGAUGUUCAUGGCAGUUUUGUACAUAAUGACAAAAAAACUGGAAACAAUCUAAACGCGCAGCGUUCUCCAUACAGGUAUGUCAAGCAUGGCACACCUAUACACAGGAUAUUGUGUAGACUCUAAUGCUUUGUUUAGGUUUUUUUUUUUUUUUUUGGCCAGCGAAGAUUUGCCCUCAGCUAACAUCUGUUGCCAAUCUUCCUCCUUUUUCUUCCAUUUUUCCUUCGCAAAGCCCCAGUACACAGUUGUAUAUUCUGGUUGUAAGUCCUUCUAGUUCUUCCAUGUGAGCCACCUCCACAGCAUGGCCACUGACAGACAGGCGGUGUGGUUCCACAACCGAGAACUGAACCCCGGCUCCUGAAGCGGAGUGUGCCAAACUUUAAUGGCUAAGCCAUCAGGGCUGGCUCUGUUUAGAUUUUUAAUGGCAUGAAAAAUGCUUAUGAUGUGAUGUUUAGAGUACAAGGAAAAUCAGGCUACAAAUUGUUAAAUACCAAAUUAAAACAUAUGGAGGAAAAAAGGAAGGAAGGACACAUGCCACAGUGAAAAUGGUGGCCGCAUCUGAGGGACUGUUUGUUUUCCUUUUCUUCACUUCUCUGUACUUCCCAGGUCCUCAGCAAGGACCAUAUAUCUGCUCAGGCUGGAGCCAGGCUGCUGCUGUGCUGGAGGUCCACCCUUUGCCGCCUACCAACCGGGCUGGUCAUUGCACACAGCUCGCUGUGCCUCUAUUCCCCCAUAGGUGAAACGGGGCUGGUACUAACAUCUAACCCAUGGAGUUCUGUUAGGAUGAAGUGACGGAACAUUUACUGGGCACUUAGGCCUUGCACAAAAUCAGUGCUUUGCAAGUAUUAGCUGUUGUUAUUUUCAUUCUCAUAUCAUCAAAAGAAAAUCAAGCAAAAACUGAGAAAAAGAUCAAAGAUUAGAGGAAAGCAUUUAUAAAUGUUAGGAUGAGAUUUUUUUUAAAUAAACUUUUCAUUUUGAACUGAUUUCGGAUUUAGGGAAAGUUGCAGAGUUCAGAGGGACCCCAUAUAUCCCUCACCGAGUUUCCCCUGUGGCUAACGCAUUACCCUACCGUAGGACGUGCACAAAGCUAUGAGGCUGAUGCUGAUGCAGCGCUAUUAACUAAACCCUAGAUUUCAUUUGAAACUCACCUAUUCUUCCAUUUAUGUACUUUUUCUGUUCCAGGAGGGUGAUAUUUUUGAAUGUUGACUAAUGUGGCUGGGUUUUCUUUUUUACUUUUUAGUUGGGAAACAUACGUAGAAGUUUAUAAAACAAAAUGUACUGUUUAAAAGAAAUCAGAAACAGAGCACCUCCAGUACCUUAGAAUCUCGCCUUGUGUCCUUUUUCCAUCACAACACCCUUCCAACUUUGCCCCCAAGCGAUAAUUAUCACAAUGACUUUUACAGCAAUCAUAUUCUUGCUUUUCUUUAUAGUGUUA
rnacentral:lncRNA from 1 species